GAUCUUGUUAAAAGGCAGAUUCUGAUUCAG
rnacentral:miRNA from 1 species